CAAGUCAUCCAGGUACACGACACAACGCCUCCGGGGGACGCCCGCCAGCACCCUCUCCAUCAUCCGCUCGAACCUCGCCGGUGCGUUGCAUAACCUGAACGCCAUGACCCGAAACUGCCACAACCCCUGCCCGAUGGUGAACGCAGUCCAACCGCUCCCCGGCGUCUAGUAAGCAGCUCCCGGCUGUGGCUGCCGACGGCAUGCUGCCUGAAACGCCUCCAAGGCCCGGGUCCUGUUGGUCCACUGGGGCAAGGUCCAGAAGAACCAGCACUGCCGUUCCCUCCAACGCUAGGGCAAGCUGGGCAGCGGACUCGUCCACGCUCCAGCCGUAGUGUCGUGCGGCGAUCCUGAACUGCGCCAAGCACCAAUAAGGGUUAACAGGUGCCCAAAGCAUAUCACCCAGUGGACUCUGUGGAGGAUGCACUGGAGACCAGAACCUCCAGGUUCUUUACUUGCCUCUAUGGCACCAACACUGUGGGCAGAGCUGCUGCAAGAAAAGCUGGGCGAUUGAACUGCACGACACGAAAAAUGACUGGAUAACUUUUUGGAAUGUGAGAUAGUAUAUGUUUUGAUCUGUUGUGAGACACACAAGAGCGAUUGUUAAUGGUCUCAUUGUGUCACGAUCGGGGUGAGCGUUGUGUUACGGAUGGGAAACACAAAGCGAAGGUGGCUCGCUGGAGUUUUUAAAUCCGCCUGCGUGCAUUCGGCACACUGGCAGCGGUAAAAGGAACACCCUCUCUCUCGCUCUCUCUCUCUCUCUCUCUCUCUAAUACACUUUCUCUCACUCACUCUUCCUCUCGUUUGGCUCCCGCUCUUUAUUAUACACACACAAUUCUGCGGGAAUGCAGCAACAACGACUUAAUGUCAUCCUAUUGCAAAAGGCUCGAAAAUUUAGCUACAGACAGAGGACACCGGCGGAAGAUGCAUAGGCGGCGUGGACACAGUAAUGGUAGCGUGACUGGCCCGCUCCAGGGUUGAUGAUUUUAUUAAACGCGUGCACGUUUAAGGCGGAGCACAGGGUCAGCGCUGUUUGGAUUCGUCAGGCGCGCAGGUCGCUCUGUUUAAAUGGGCCAAGGGCAGCACCAUGCCCGGAAUCAAGUCCCUCACCGGUCCAGGAGCAGCCCAACCAAAAAAUAAAGAAAUACUCAUUUCUCCAACCCUCUGUUGCCCUGUGUUUAAGGUCAUUAUUCUCCUGUUCCUUGUAUUCGUUUUGCAUGAGGCCGAUAUCACACCACAUCACGGGCUGUCUGCUUUGUGUGUUGGCUGCUGUUGUUGCAGUCAUUUACAUUCA
ensembl:lncRNA